ACUUUUUAGCAAGAUGACCACGCCGUCGGCUCGUCGGCUAACACGAGGAGCCUUCGGUGUUUCGAGAUGUCCUGAGUCAGUACAUCGUCCUAGCAGCAACACCCUACCCUACCCAUGAAGGGUCGUGGAUAGAGUGCUAACCGCUAGCGGGAUCGCGGAAGCGCAACCACGUCCUCGUGAUUCCACCCAGGCGUGUCGAAGAAACACCCCAGAGGUUUUAGUCUGUGCGAAUCGGACAUACCCACCGGCUCCCCUGGGCUGGAGGCCUCAGUUUGGUAUUGGUAUCCUCUGGGUCAAAAAAAGAAGAUUGCCUAAUAUGAAUAUUCAAUUAAUAAAAUUUGUUUUUCAAUAAAUAAA